AGUGGUAAAAACCAUAUCCUGGGAGAGAAAAUAGGAAGUUUAUAUUAAUCUACUCUGUGAAAGAAGUGGAGACUAGAGUCAAAAUUCUAUUUAUUAUAGUGAGAGACUUCUAACCACGAUAGCUGUUAAUAUUGCCACUACUAAAAGACAGUGUGAAUUAUUAGAUAUCUUUCACCACCAACUUCAUUUACCAGCUUCUCUGGUUACUCUGGAUUUAAUUUUGUUUACCAGAAAACAAUUUUCUUCUUCUAGUCUACACGAAAUGAUUGGUACCACAGCCACCUUUUAUUCACUGUUAAACUUUAACAAAUUGCUAUAUAUAUAGAUAUAACUAAUUCCUGUUUGCAUUGUGUCCUUUGAGACAAUGGCCUAUGGCCUCAUACUCAAUUUACUUAAGCUUUCCUCCAGCAUCUUUUCUUGAGAAUUACGGAUUCACAGUUGAAGAAAAAUAAUUCAGUUAGCUUUAAGACAGAAACAAAAGAUUUUGGAGCUAAUAUUUUUGUCUUCCAGGUUUACUAAGGCUGUUAUUUGCUUUUAUUCUCACUAUAUAUAUUUAUGUAGCUGUGAGAAUUACAUUUUGGUUGACUUUGCAUAAAGAGCAUAUCUCUAAUUAUUAGCUGAAUUUUGCAAGAUUAACACUCAGCAGUUUUUCAUGUCAGUUUCUACAUCUGUACAUGGAAGGAUUAUAAUUUCUAGAAAGGUGUCCUUUUGCUGGAAAUUUGUCAAAAGCUCUUCCAGUGUCCCCUGUGGGAAAAAUCUUUUUGAGGACAUAUGACCCAGCUUCUAUUCAUAAAGCUUCAGCCAUUAUAGAUUGAAAAAGACUACUCCAUUAUCUGGAAUUAUGAAAGAUUUCUCAUGGAUUCCAAAAUUUUUGUGUGUCUUUCCUGUUCCAGGAAGGGAUUGGAAUGGAAAGGUGAGGGAGUGGGGUGGAAAGAUCAAUAUUGCCAAGGGAAACAAUACUACAAUGUCGGUGUCCCCUCCUUUAAAUGAAGGUGUAAAAUUUGUUUUUCAUACAAGAAGCCACCUUGCUUCAACCAGUUCUCACCUCAACAGUGAGGGCUGAACCUUGGCUCAGUGGAUCUAACACAAAUCAGUCUACUCUUCUGAGACUGAAAGAUUUAGGCAGAUAUUGCUUCUUAUACAGCUCCUGUAUUAGGCUUAUAAUUCAAAGUUAGGCACUUUGGGUUUCUCUGUGUAAAUGUCUCAGGCAAUGAGAAUUCAAAGACUUGUGAAGAAGAAAAGAAGUCUUGCUUCUAAAAAAAAUUCUUAGAAAAGGAUCUACUUUAACUUGUUUCCUAACUUUAAAUCGGUAAAUUCAACACUAGGAACACACUAAGAUACACAUUUUGUUUGAGAAUCUUAUCCCUAGAGCUAAAAUAGAGAUCAGUUCAGGCUUUUCUCUAACACUAUUAUUUGCAAUCAUAAUGUGCUUUCUUUACACUUAGCAAUCAAUUGUCUGUGAUGUUUAAUAUUGCUCAGUUUCCUCUUUCACAUCUUCAUCAUACUGACACUCAAAUCUGAGAUAGAAAAAGAAAUUCCUGAGAAAUACUAUGACAAAUGAAGACCAUCUGGUAGGCAUAAACAUAAAUGAGAUGCAAACCAAAAAAUCUCAUUAAACAUUGAAUCAAUCCAGUAUACAUGACAAGUCUCAAAACAACAGAAUUAUUUUGAGGUGACUCAUGUGUACCAGUGGGGUACUAUGCAGAGUGUGAUUAAUUUUUACAGUCUAAUGAAUUUCCUCACAAAAAAAAAAAAAAAAAGCCAGCCAAAAUUUAUUUUGCAGUAUCAGUCUUAAAUUUCAUUCAUUCAUUUACUCUAAAGUACAUUUGUUGUGGUUUUUAUUUAUGACACUAUACUAGGAAAUAUGUUUCAUAAGCCUAAACAUAUUCUCAUUAUUUUAGUUUCAGAAUCUGAAAAGUUCCUUGCUUUCUGUUACAGAGUAGGAGAAUGCAUACAGCAAGAAGACAGUAACAUAUUUAAUGUAAGGCCGCUACUUCCAAUUCAGCAAAUUGGCCAAUUGUCCAACAUCAAUUGCCUGUAAAAAUUGGACAGAAGGUUAUUUUUGUUGCAGACUUAAAAUGCUACUGAACAGCCCCCACCUUAACACUGAGGACUACCCCAUGUCCAGCAUUUGGCUGGGGCACAUGGGUUGAAAUCCUGCAUACUGAGUCAAUUGCUCAAUUGAUGUCAGCAAAGUUGCAUCCAAGGCCCAUGUCUCAGUACUACACCUUAAAGAACAGGGCAGGAGAGGUAGCAAAGGGAUGACUGGACUUUUUGCAAGUCUGCUAACAGCUAAGUGAAGGGAGAACCUCAUAUGUACUCUUCUCUCAGAAAUAAGGUUUAGCAACCAGCAGUUAAUCUGUCAAAUAAAGGGUUUAUUCUCACUUUAAAGAAUCUUUCUGGUUUCCAUUCCUGACAUUCAUGUCAAAUUAUGGACCAUCCACUGAUCUUCCAUUUUCUCUUAAUCAGCACAAAGAAAAAUUUUUAAAUCAAGAAUUUAAACCAAAGAAAGCCCAUAAAGCUCCCCUUAUAGGUUUAUACAGAAAAAAAAAAAAACAACAAAAAAACCAACCAAAAAAAAACCCAAAAAAACCCCCCACAGUGGAAUAGAUUUAAUUUCAGGAGCUUGCAAAAUUACAGGAAAAUUUAUAUUAUUUCUUGAUAUUUAAUGAAUGAGUGAUACACACUAUUACAUAAUUUAGUAGCAGAGUGUUUUUUGCAUGGCUUUAGAUUCUGUAUAUAUUUUCACAUCGUACCUCUACUUUUCCUCCCCCCAUCCCCCCCGAAUACUUAGGAAAUGUCCACUGAAUGGAGUAGAAACAGAACAUCUACGAUCUCGCUCCUUUUUUGAUUGGGUUCAGCUACUUUGAAUCUACUACGUUCUAGCCAUAUGGCAACAUGGGAUCCAAGCCCACAGAGGUUAUUGAGUGGUUAUUCGCUUUCCUCUUAGCUCAUGGUAAUGUGGGGGAUUAGGCCUUUUCUAAGUUCUUAGCUACAGAAAUCACAAUGAAUGUUUCAUCUUACAAAUGGUUCUGCUCCCAGCAGAAAUCUCCCCAUGCUCUAUAGCACCUUGUCAAAGCCACAUCAUAUAUAUGGCAUCUGCUGUGAAAACCCACUGAUAGAACCCCCUAGCUUGUACCACAUUUUUUGAUGUAUUUUAGAAAUGUGGCAAGCUGUAAGUAUGGAAUAAAUUACUGGUUUCUUGGUGUUUAUAAUAGAGUUCAUAAUUGUCUGAUUCAACAAUACCAUCUCUACCUCAGCUGAGCUCUAAGGCUACGUGGUCCCCACAAUUACUAUCUUAUAAAUAUCAAGGAUAGCUAAAGAAGAGGAUGUGCCCUGUGAACAGGAGAGAGAUACAAAAAUGUCAGGUUUUGGGGGUCCAUUUUUCCACACAGUCUGCACUAUGUUAAAAAGAGCAUUCAGUUGUAUAUUCAGUAUUAAAAAACACCACCUGUACCACAGGAAAAUGUUACCACAACCUUCUCCUAACACUUUUCCCAUUAAAAUUGCAUUUAUCUGGUGGCUACAUUCCAAGUUCUGUGCCCUCCCAUAUAAUUAAUUGUAUUCUCUACAGGCAAUAUUUGCUUUUAUUUCCCCAAUUGAAACAAGAUUUUUCCCAGUCUGAUCUCCUUCACUCUUUAUUUUAUGCCACACCAAUUCUUCUGCACUAAUUUCAAACACUCUUUGGUCCCCAUUCUCAUAGAAGGACCAAUGGGUACUAGUGUCCCUUCAUCACUUUCAUUGUUUACCAGUCUCUGGUUAGAACUCAUGGCAUCAUUCUUGCAAAUGAAGCAUUACAAGAAUUCUCAUCCUUUAGUACUAAAAUAAAUUAUUUAUGUUCUUUAUAAAAAGAGCAUUUUUAUUGCUGCUGAUUAAAUAAUAUGCCAAAAAUACAUAGUCUGCAAUAUAUUUUGCCCAUGAAUCAUUCCACGAAUUAUUAAGAAAUAUUUGUAUUAGGGUGUCUCUGGAACUAGUUCUUUGGAGUCAGAGAGAUAUAUAAAUAACCUCUUAACAUAGAUUCUUGGACUGGGAGAUGUGGGAGGUGGUGUUGGUUGCUUGCUAUAGGUAUUUUGGGAAAUACCUAAGAGCUAAAAAAAUAGAAAAUAUGCUUUUCUUGUAUUUACAGGGUGAUUUUUUCUUUCCCCUUCCUUUCAGAGAGGGAAGUUGCUGCAGUUCAGUAAUGAAUUUGUUGUACACUGAAUCCAGACUGAAUCUCCAGGAGAGGGAGACAAUGAAUAGGCCAGUAGAAAGGAUUGAAUGCUGAUGUCAAUUAGACUGAAACCAUGAAAUAAAUGAGGGGCUUCAGUAGUUGUUCUUCAUAGCCACUUCAGUUUAGUAUGCAAGGGAAUGCUUCUGUUUUAUUGCAAUAAUAAAUUUCAGAGCCCAGAGAAAGAGAGAAUAUUGGCAUUUCAAUCAGGACAGCUUCACACACAGGCAGCCCACUCAACUCAGUGUUGAAAGCUUUAUGAAGGCAAGCCUGUAGGAUAUCCAAGAGAUUACUUACAUGAUUCUAAAGGAUGGAUUUUUACAAAAUCCUUAUAACACUGCCUGGUGCCCUUGUUGAAGUGAAUUUGAAACACACUCGUGAGCUCCUCAGAGUCUGCAGACAAUACCCAUAAGUAUCAGUGUGUACAUGCCUACCUACAUUUAAUACAACAAACAGACAAAUGCUUGUUUCAAAUACAAUGAUAAGGUGUCAAUAUUUGAGAUUUUUGUUUUUAAUCAAUGGUGUUUGUAAGGGCUACUAAUAAUUUUCAUUACCCCAUCAGUCAAUCAGGAAGCAAGCUUUGUCUCUGUUGUUUUAGCUUCUGAAAAGAAACUGGAAGCAUUGCACAGGAAUAUGGCAGUAGCAAUCACAAACAAGACAAGGUUUUAUGGUCUCAAGUAAUCACAGACUGCACCAUCCUAUGUCUUAGUAUAGUCUGAGAACAUUCUUAAGAAGCUAAUAUUGCAUGAGGAGACAAUGUAACCCUCAGCACUAUAUACUCUUUCUUGCUAGUAAAAAAGGGAACUAUUCCACCUGUGCCAAAAUUAUUCUCAGAGGACCUGAAGAUUUUCCUUGGCCAAAUUAUUAAAUAGCAAUCUCUUUAAUAAACUAUAAAUUACUUUGCUAAACAUUGUGAUAAAGGGUGACCCUCAACGGAAUGCAAUAAUACACACACAAAAAAAAGUUUUAAUUAGUUACUUUAUUCAGAAAAAUAUUCUAAAUGUGAAAACUUUAGGUCCUGGGAACAGAACUGACAGUUAAUUUAAGUUUAUAUCAUGUUUAUAAAUAACAAGAACAGACAUUGAUAUUAAAAUUCCACACACAGGUAAUACAUAUAAACAUAACAAUAUACAAUGUGAUCAGCUUGCAAAUGCUACAUAAUUAAAAUUAUAGUACAGUUCCCAUUUUUAGAUAUAUUUUUCACCUGAGCUGAUGUAUCUGAACAAAGCUUCUUUUAGAAAUUGAUGCCUGUAUGUGAGUUAGAAAGAGAAAUUACUGGAAUCUGGGUGGAAGUAACCCAUUUCUAUAGAGAGCUUUUUGUCAUCUCUGAGAACAGAUUGCCUCAAAUCAGUUUCCGUUAUAUUUCAGCUCCUGUAACUUGGAGUUCCUGACAUGCUACCAUGGAAUUUGAUUCCUUGCCUUCACAUGGUGCUCAAUUCAUUUUGGUUUUGCUUAUGUAAAUUGCUGCUUAUGUAAAUUUUGCUUAUGUAAAUUACUUGUAAAAUUGUAUAGUUGCAAUUAGUCAGCUGAUGCAUUGAGUCAGCAGUAAAAUACAAUCCAUAGUAUAGUUCAUAACUUUUUUUUUUCUAGUUCUUUGAAGAACUUUGAAGCUUUUUAUUGCUAUUUAAAAUACAAGCCAAGCCUGCAUGGUGUGUCUCACUGAGCCACUCAUUGCUGCUUUUGGAUGAGCAAAAAAAGGCAGCUUCAGGCUUUGAAUGUAUCACAUGUUUACCCUAAAGUUGGGCCCAGGCUUGCAACAUGAGCACUGACAUUUCAAUUUUCUUAAAGAACUAGGAAGACUUCUUCUGCAAAAGAUUUGAUCAGAAAGUUCACCUUCUCUGUGAUUCUGCACACUGAGAAUGGUGUUGCCUUGAGUGCAAACCCACAGAAAUGAGUAACUAUCUCACUAGCCUCAAUAGUUUUUCUCGGUUUAAGUAAGGGUGAUAGAUACUGACUACAACAAUUCAAUGAAAAAAAAUACCUGAUGUUACUUGUUUACUUGACAAUUGAUUGUUGGGUCAUAUUAACUGCACUUGUUUGUUCCUGAGCAAGAUACUGUGGUAAAGUUUGAGCAGGUAACUGCGUGUAAAUUUACAUAGUUAAGUUUGUGAAAUAAAUUUGGAGUAGAUGUGAAAAACCUUGCUCAGUCUCUUCCAGAUUAGUGAGUAAUGCUCAAGACAUGUCCAUGGAACAUUUCAUCUUGUUUGAAUGACAAAGUCCCUGUCCAUUUGGAUGCAUGGCACCUGCACUUGCUCUUCAAGAUAGCACCUUCCACUGACACCAAUGGUAAUUGCAAAAGAGGAGCAUACCUGUACUCACAGGUCUGAGAAAAUAACCCAUGGAAGUGAUAAAACCCCAUUCAAGAGAAGGCAGGAGAAUAAAUCCCUAUUUAGCUACUAUCUGAAUGCUAUCAUUUUCAGGUAGUUGAGCAUAACUCAGAGUCAGAAGCAUACUUGCUCUUCCAGCACUGGUUAAGACGAUAGGACUAAGAAUUGGAGAAGAAAAGGAGCUAAGAGAAGGGAAAGUUGCUGCCCAAUUGCCCUGCCAGGGAUGGUGCAGUAAUGUCAAACACGUCACUUGGCUGUGGCAGUAGUUUUAAGGUAAAAAUGGACAAAAGAGGCAUAAACGUUUUUCCAUGCCCAGCAUUAUACUAUCCUGGACAAUUAUUUUUGUCUCAGCUAGCAGAGGGACCUUAGGUAGACAUUUACAGGUGACAAUGGCUCUGCAGGAGACUCUAGCUCCCUGUACAAGAGUCCCAAGAGGCCCAGCAAUGCUAGCUCACUUUCUUCCUCAGCUGAGAUAUGAGUUGCCCAGCAGCCUUUGUUCAAGCACAGUCAGCCAACCAAUUAUAUGCUGCAGAUAGGGCAUACAUGCUGUCCUGGAGCUGCUCACAAUCCACAUGUAAUUCAAAAGCCACCAUUUAACCACCCUUGUCAUUACCUCAACCUUUCUGAAACUGUGCAUUGACACUGAAACAAUUGUUUUCUCCUGGUAUCAGGUGCCAAGAAAAUCACUGCACUCCACAAGUUUUAUGACUUCUAGCAGUUCUACUCACUUCAGACAAUUGGAUCAGCAUUGUACAGCUGCUAUUCCUGCAGUUUGUCAGCAUUUGCCUGAGUUUAUACAAAGGAUAACACAGAGAGAGCAAUUUGUCUCCUUGCCAAAAGAAAAGAGCUGGUAUUUCUCUCCUGUGGAAGAAAUGAAGUGUGACAAAAAUUCUGCAUAAUUUGAAUAGAUAUGUAAUUCGCUGGGGAAAUCCGUGAACCAAGAAGCAGAAAAAGUAUCCUCUCCCUUGAAAAUACUUGUGUAAGAAGUAAUGGCAAAAGAGCUAUUAAGACUCCUGUGGUGCUUGGAAGUGAAUGCUAGACAUUUACCUUUGAUACCUUCUUUUCCAUAUUCUUCCAUUUUCUUCUCACAUUAAAUGUGACAUUUUGACCCAGCA